rnacentral:rRNA from 1 species
CUCAGAUUGAACGCUGGCGGCAGGCUUAACACAUGCAAGUCGAGCGGAGAGAGGUAGCUUGCUACUGAUCUUAGCGGCGGACGGGUGAGUAAUGCUUAGGAAUCUGCCUAUUAGUGGGGGACAACAUCUCGAAAGGGAUGCUAAUACCGCAUACGUCCUACGGGAGAAAGCAGGGGAUCUUCGGACCUUGCGCUAAUAGAUGAGCCUAAGUCGGAUUAGCUAGUUGGUGGGGUAAAGGCCUACCAAGGCGACGAUCUGUAGCGGGUCUGAGAGGAUGAUCCGCCACACUGGGACUGAGACACGGCCCAGACUCCUACGGGAGGCAGCAGUGGGGAAUAUUGGACAAUGGGGGGAACCCUGAUCCAGCCAUGCCGCGUGUGUGAAGAAGGCCUUAUGGUUGUAAAGCACUUUAAGCGAGGAGGAGGCUACUUUAGUUAAUACCUAGAGAUAGUGGACGUUACUCGCAGAAUAAGCACCGGCUAACUCUGUGCCAGCAGCCGCGGUAAUACAGAGGGUGCAAGCGUUAAUCGGAUUUACUGGGCGUAAAGCGCGCGUAGGCGGCUAAUUAAGUCAAAUGUGAAAUCCCCGAGCUUAACUUGGGAAUUGCAUUCGAUACUGGUUAGCUAGAGUGUGGGAGAGGAUGGUAGAAUUCCAGGUGUAGCGGUGAAAUGCGUAGAGAUCUGGAGGAAUACCGAUGGCGAAGGCAGCCAUCUGGCCUAACACUGACGCUGAGGUGCGAAAGCAUGGGGAGCAAACAGGAUUAGAUACCCUGGUAGUCCAUGCCGUAAACGAUGUCUACUAGCCGUUGGGGCCUUUGAGGCUUUAGUGGCGCAGCUAACGCGAUAAGUAGACCGCCUGGGGAGUACGGUCGCAAGACUAAAACUCAAAUGAAUUGACGGGGGCCCGCACAAGCGGUGGAGCAUGUGGUUUAAUUCGAUGCAACGCGAAGAACCUUACCUGGCCUUGACAUAGUAAGAACUUUCCAGAGAUGGAUUGGUGCCUUCGGGAACUUACAUACAGGUGCUGCAUGGCUGUCGUCAGCUCGUGUCGUGAGAUGUUGGGUUAAGUCCCGCAACGAGCGCAACCCUUUUCCUUAUUUGCCAGCGAGUAAUGUCGGGAACUUUAAGGAUACUGCCAGUGACAAACUGGAGGAAGGCGGGGACGACGUCAAGUCAUCAUGGCCCUUACGGCCAGGGCUACACACGUGCUACAAUGGUCGGUACAAAGGGUUGCUACACAGCGAUGUGAUGCUAAUCUCAAAAAGCCGAUCGUAGUCCGGAUUGGAGUCUGCAACUCGACUCCAUGAAGUCGGAAUCGCUAGUAAUCGCGGAUCAGAAUGCCGCGGUGAAUACGUUCCCGGGGCCUUGUACACACCGCCCGUCACACCAUGGGGAGUUUGUUGCACCAGAAGUAGCUAGCCUAACUGCAAAGAGGGCGGUUACCACGGUGUGGCCGAUGACUGGGGUGAGCA